CUUGAUUCAAAGGUAGUAAAGUAUCAGAGCUGGUCCAAAUCAAGGUCCUCUGGUUCUUUAUCUAUUUAUUUCUGCUCUACCUUUAUCAGAUGGAGAUUAGAGGAUUGCUAUAGGCCACUUCCACCAUUGCACUCAUCCUUCAGAUACUCAUGGAGACAGUUUCCAGUCAUAAUCAUUUGUGCUAUUUUGGGGAAGGACCUGGGUGUGAGACUUGUUCAGCUUCAUAUAAAGUUCAUUAACACCAUCUACUGAGCUGUGGAAGAGGAAUAAAUUCCUUUGAUGGAGAGCGCCCA
rnacentral:lncRNA from 1 species